rnacentral:rRNA from 1 species
CGCGAAACCUUUACACUGCACGAGAGUGCGAUAAGGGGACUCCCAGUGCGAGGGCAUACAGUCCUCGCUUUUCUGGACCGUAGGGAGGUCCAGGAACAAGUGCUGGGCAAGACCGGUGCCAGCCGCCGCGGUAAUACCGGCAGCACGAGUGAUGGCCGAUAUUAUUGGGCCUAAAGCGUCCGUAGCCGGCCAGACAAGUCCGUUGGGAAAUCCACGUGCUCAACACGUGGGCGUCCAGCGGAAACUGUCUGGCUUGGGGCCGGAAGACCCAAGGGGUACGUCCGGGGUAGGAGUGAAAUCCCGUAAUCCUGGACGGACCGCCGAUGGCGAAAGCACCUUGGGAGGACGGACCCGACGGUGAGGGACGAAAGCCAGGGUCUCGAACCGGAUUAGAUACCCGGGUAGUCCUGGCCGUAAACGAUGUCCGCUAGAUGUGGCGCAGGCUACGAGCCUGCGCUGUGCCGUAGGGAAGCCGUGAAGCGGACCGCCUGGGAAGUACGUCUGCAAAGAUGAAACUUAAAGGAAUUGGCGGGGGAGCACUACAACCGGAGGAGCCUGCGGUUUAAUUGGAAUCA